UUGCACGCUAGCGGGAUGCUUUACACCUGCAAGUCGAACGGCAGCGCGGACUUCGGUCUGGCGGCGAGUGGCGAACGGGUGAGUAAUGUAUCGGAACGUGCCCAGUAGCGGGGGAUAACUACGCGAAAGCGUAGCUAAUACCGCAUACGCCCUACGGGGGAAAGCAGGGGAUCGUAAGACCUUGCACUAUUGGAGCGGCCGAUAUCGGAUUAGCUAGUUGGUGAGGUAACGGCUCACCAAGGCGACGAUCCGUAGCUGGUUUGAGAGGACGACCAGCCACACUGGGACUGAGACACGGCCCAGACUCCUACGGGAGGCAGCAGUGGGGAAUUUUGGACAAUGGGGGCAACCCUGAUCCAGCCAUCCCGCGUGUGCGAUGAAGGCCUUCGGGUUGUAAAGCACUUUUGGCAGGAAAGAAACGUCGCGGGCUAAUACCCCGUGGAACUGACGGUACCUGCAGAAUAAGCACCGGCUAACUACGUG
rnacentral:rRNA from 1 species